rnacentral:rRNA from 1 species
AUGAACGCUGGCGGCGUGCCUAACACAUGCAAGUCGAGCGAUUCUCUUCGGAGAAGAGCGGCGGACGGGUGAGUAACGCGUGGGUAACCUGCCCUGUACACACGGAUAACAUACCGAAAGGUAUGCUAAUACGGGAUAAUAUAAGAAAUUCGCAUGUUUUUCUUAUCAAAGCUCCGGCGGUACAGGAUGGACCCGCGUCUGAUUAGCUAGUUGGUGAGGUAACGGCUCACCAAGGCGACGAUCAGUAGCCGACCUGAGAGGGUGAUCGGCCACAUUGGAACUGAGACACGGUCCAAACUCCUACGGGAGGCAGCAGUGGGGAAUAUUGCACAAUGGGCGAAAGCCUGAUGCAGCAACGCCGCGUGAGCGAUGAAGGCCUUCGGGUCGUAAAGCUCUGUCCUCAAGGAAGAUAAUGACGGUACUUGAGGAGGAAGCCCCGGCUAACUACGUGCCAGCAGCCGCGGUAAUACGUAGGGGGCUAGCGUUAUCCGGAUUUACUGGGCGUAAAGGGUGCGUAGGCGGUCUUUUAAGUCAGGAGUGAAAGGCUACGGCUCAACCGUAGUAAGCUCUUGAAACUGGAGGACUUGAGUGCAGGAGAGGAGAGUGGAAUUCCUAGUGUAGCGGUGAAAUGCGUAGAUAUUAGGAGGAACACCAGUAGCGAAGGCGGCUCUCUGGACUGUAACUGACGCUGAGGCACGAAAGCGUGGGGAGCAAACAGGAUUAGAUACCCUGGUAGUCCACGCCGUAAACGAGGAGUACUAGCUGUCGGAGGUUACCCCCUUCGGUGGCGCAGCUAACGCAUUAUGUACUCCGCCUGGGGAGUACGCUCGCAAGAGUGAAACUCAAAGGAAUUGACGGGGACCUGCACAAGUAGCGGAGCAUGUGGUUUAAUUCGAAGCAACGCGAAGAACCUUACCUAAGCUUGACAUCCUUUUGACCGAUGCCUAAUCGCAUCUUUCCCUUCGGGGACAGAAGUGACAGGUGGUGCAUGGUUGUCGUCAGCUCGUGUCGUGAGAUGUUGGGUUAAGUCCCGCAACGAGCGCAACCCUUGCCUUUAGUUGCCAUCAUUAAGUUGGGCACUCUAGAGGGACUGCCAGGGAUAACCUGGAGGAAGGUGGGGAUGACGUCAAAUCAUCAUGCCCCUUAUGCUUAGGGCUACACACGUGCUACAAUGGGUGGUACAGAGGGCAGCGAAGUCGUGAGGCCAAGCUAAUCCCUUAAAGCCAUUCUCAGUUCGGAUUGUAGGCUGAAACUCGCCUACAUGAAGCUGGAGUUACUAGUAAUCGCAGAUCAGAAUGCUGCGGUGAAUGCGUUCCCGGGUCUUGUACACACCGCCCGUCACACCAUGGGAGUUGGGGGCGCCCGAAGCCGGCUAGCUAACCUUUUGGAAGCGGUCGUCGAAGGUGAAAUCAAUAACUGGGGUG